rnacentral:rRNA from 1 species
UACGGGGGGGGGCAAGCGUUUGUUCGGAAUUACUGGGCGUAAAGGGUUUGUAGGUGGCCGGCUAAGUCAGACGUGAAAUCCCUCAGCUUAACUGGGGAACUGCGUCUGAAACUGAUCGGCUCGAGUGCAGGAGAGGAACGCGGAAUUCCAGGUGUAGCGGUGAAAUGCGUAGAUAUCUGGAGGAACACCGGUGGCGAAGGCGGCGUUCUGGACUGCAACUGACACUGUAAAACGAAAGCCAGGGGAGCAAACGGG